rnacentral:rRNA from 1 species
GAUGAACGCUGGCGGCGUGCCUAAUACAUGCAAGUCGAGCGAACAGACGAGGAGCUUGCUCCUCUGACGUUAGCGGCGGACGGGUGAGUAACACGUGGAUAACCUACCUAUAAGACGGGGAUAACUUCGGGAAACCGGAUCUAAUACCGGAUAAUAUAUUGAACCGCAUGGUUCAAUAGUGAAAGACGGUUUUGCUGUCACUUAUAGAUGGAUCCGCGCCGCAUUAGCUAGUUGGUAAGGUAACGGCUUACCAAGGCAACGAUGCGUAGCCGACCUGAGAGGGUGAUCGGCCACACUGGAACUGAGACACGGUCCAGACUCCUACGGGAGGCAGCAGUAGGGAAUCUUCCGCAAUGGGCGAAAGCCUGACGGAGCAACGCCGCGUGAGUGAUGAAGGUCUUCGGAUCGUAAAACUCUGUUAUUAGGGAAGAACAAAUGUGUAAGUAACUAUGCACGUCUUGACGGUACCUAAUCAGAAAGCCACGGCUAACUACGUG